rnacentral:lncRNA from 1 species
AAUGGCCCUUUGUUCUGCUGUUUAAUGACUAAUUAUGAUGCUAUGUGGAAGUGUGUAAUCUUCAGAAAGCUGUGACUGCGACGUGGAGUUGCGUAAGAAACAAUUACAGAAUCCAGUCAGGGCUUGCUUCUUGCCACAGGCUCCAGGCUUUUACCCCCAGUAGCUUUACAUGCUUGUUAAUUUUUAAACUGUCGAGUAGUAGCAGAAUAUUUUGUAAGCUUCAGUAAUGGAUGAGGACUUUUAUUGCAUGUAUAAAUGUCCCCAGAGGCUAUUACUCAAAAGGGCUCAGCUAAUAAAUAGGAGAACUAUGUGUCGUGUCCAUGCAACCUAAGGAG